rnacentral:rRNA from 1 species
GUCUACGGCCAUGCCACCCUGAACAAGCCCAGUGUCUGAUCUCGGAAGCUAAGCAAGGUCGGGCCUGGUUAGGACUUAGAUGGGAGACUAAGGUGCUGUAGGCA